rnacentral:rRNA from 1 species
UACGUAGGUGGCAAGCGUUAUCCGGAUUUAUUGGGUGUAAAGGGCGUGUAGGCGGGAGCGCAAGUCAGAUGUGAAAACUCAGGGCUCGACCCUGAGCCUGCAUUUGAAACUGUGUGUCUUGAGUGCUGGAGAGGCAAUCGGAAUUCCGUGUGUAGCGGUGAAAUGCGUAGAUAUACGGAGGAACACCAGUGGCGAAGGCGGAUUGCUGGACAGUAACUGACGCUGAGGCGCGAAAGCGUGGGGAGCAAACAGG